rnacentral:lncRNA from 1 species
GUUUAGAGGUCAUUAUAUCACAUCCAGCAGAGGCCUUUGUCAGGCCUGGCUUGCCCAGUUGUCACCAGCAGCCCUAGGCUGUGGCCCCUCAGUACCAUCCCAGCCUCCACCUAGGCAAGCUCGCGGACAACUGCAACACGCUCCAAGAUCACCACAGUCUUAGGAUUCCAUAGGCUGGGAUAUAGGUCAGCGGGAGAACCCUGCCAAGCAUGGACGGCUGAGCUGGAAUUGUGGGAUCCCAAAAUGUUUGCCAACGGACAAACUCAAACUGAGUCCUGUGCUGGUUACUUAACUGUCAAUGUGACAGACUCUAGACUCACCCAGGACAUAGGUCCAUAACCAUGGCUUUUGAACACAGCAAGAGAGUGAAUACAGACUGCUAAAGGCACAGCGGAAGGACGUGUGGCCCUGACAUAAGAUGUGCUAUGAUCUCAAAGUGUUCGGAGGUAGCUGGUCCAACUUCUCAUCUUACCGUGUGCAACACUUACUCUUUAAGGCUGGAGAGGAGUCACUGCUGAAAAGUCACUGCGUUUUCAU